GUUCCUAGCAAAGGACGGCACACCAGAUCAUUGUGCUGAAAAUCUUCCAAAGUCUUCUGAUAACAGCCAAAAGCUUCAGUUAUUUUGAACAAGCUUUCAAUGAGAGGCAUCAUGCCCUGGCGACCUUCACAAACAGAAAUAGAAGUCACCUUCAACACUGAGGAUGCUUGAAAACAAUGGACCUCAUCUAGCCCUGAGCAAGAUAUUCUAUCUUUCUACAUCACAGUGAGUACAGGUUUCUGAGGUCUGAACUAAUGUCAGCAACAGCACCAACACCCCUGCAAAACCUAUAAGCAGAAGACCAGCCAAAAUGCAAAGUUCUUCAUGCAAAAAGACAUUCCUCAUCAUACUCUGAUCUAUGACAUCAUCGGAAAGCCUAUUCCAAGUGAAGGAAAUGCAUCCUGCCCUCACUCUGAUUUGAGUACAAGACACUAUCAUGAUCUGACCAGCUGUGGAAUAAUAUAACAUCAUCAAGUUGCCAAUAUGAUCCUUGAUUUGCUGGGAUAACCUCAGGAAGAAAUUUUUGUUUUGUUUUUUAAUGGUGUGGCAGCCAAAGAUUGGUGAAAGAAGUGUCACAAGUGACUAGUAGCUCAAGAAUA